rnacentral:rRNA from 1 species
UAAUACGAAGGGGGCUAGCGUUGCUCGGAAUUACUGGGCGUAAAGGGCGCGUAGGCGGCACUGUUAGUCAGGCGUGAAAGUCCUGGGCUCAACCUGGGAACUGCGCUUGAUACGGCAGAGCUAGAGGAUGGAAGAGGCUCGCGGAAUUCCCAGUGUAGAGGUGAAAUUCGUAGAUAUUGGGAAGAACACCGGUGGCGAAGGCGGCGAGCUGGUCCAUUACUGACGCUGAGGCGCGACAGCGUGGGGAGCAAACAGGAUUAGAUACCCUGGUAGUCCACGCCGUAAACGAUGUGCGCUGGAUGUUGGGUGGCCUAGCCACUCAGUGUCGUAGCUAACGCGGUAAGCGCACCGCCUGGGGAGUACGGCCGCAAGGUUG